GUCACAUAUCGACAAGCUUCAGUUAGCAGGUCAUCUUUGACAUAUAUUGGCUGAAGCAUUGUUUCUUUUAUUCAGACUAGGAAGGUAUAAUCUCCACCUAUUUUUUACUCAUUCAAGGAACGACCCCAACCAGAAUCAAACCUCCCAUCUCCUUGCCCAACUAACAAGAGGUGAUACCAUCCAAGCUAUUGCUCGCUGAUAACUGUUUUGCUACUCCGAAAAUGGUGUAAGAACUGAUAUGCCACUAGUUUUGAAAGAUAUGCAAGCCUCAAAAUCUGUACAAUAUUUGAUAAACUCAGGCUAUGAAGUACUCUUUGGAAGUCCAGAUCGUGUCGAUAGAUGAAUUCAGGUGAUGUUGCAUUCAUCGAUCUGCAUAGAGAGGACUGCUCAAGCGCAGGUGAAUGGGAAGUGGAAAGGACAGGCAUAGAAAUAUAACUGUCAUUCAGUAGGUGGAUGGAGUCUAGGACAAGAACCGCA
rnacentral:lncRNA from 1 species